rnacentral:rRNA from 1 species
AGUGAACGCUGGCGGUAGGCCUAACACAUGCAAGUCGAACGGCAGCACAGUAAGAGCUUGCUCUUACGGGUGGCGAGUGGCGGACGGGUGAGGAAUACAUCGGAAUCUACUUUUUCGUGGGGGAUAACGUAGGGAAACUUACGCUAAUACCGCAUACGACCUACGGGUGAAAGCAGGGGAUCUUCGGACCUUGCGCGAUUGAAUUAGCCGAUGUCGGAUUAGCUAGUUGGCGGGGUAAAGGCCCACCAAGGCGACGAUCCGUAGCUGGUCUGAGAGGAUGAUCAGCCACACUGGAACUGAGACACGGUCCAGACUCCUACGGGAGGCAGCAGUGGGGAAUAUUGGACAAUGGGCGCAAGCCUGAUCCAGCCAUACCGCGUGGGUGAAGAAGGUCUUCGGGUUGUAAAGCCCUUUUGUUGGGAAAGAAAAGCAGCAGGUUAAUACCCCGCUGUUCUGACGGUACCCAAAGAAUAAGCACCGGCUAACUUCGUG